AUUGAACGCUGGCGGCAGGCCUAACACAUGCAAGUCGAGCGGAUGAAGGGAGCUUGCUCCUGGAUUCAGCGGCGGACGGGUGAGUAAUGCCUAGGAAUCUGCCUGGUAGUGGGGGAUAACGUCCGGAAACGGGCGCUAAUACCGCAUACGUCCUGAGGGAGAAAGUGGGGGAUCUUCGGACCUCACGCUCUCAGAUGAGCCUAGGUCGGAUUAGCUAGCUGGUGGGGUAAAGGCCUACCAAGGCGACGAUCCGUAACUGGUCUGAGAGGAUGAUCAGUCACACUGGAACUGAGACACGGUCCAGACUCCUACGGGAGGCAGCAGUGGGGAAUAUUGGACAAUGGGCGAAAGCCUGAUCCAGCCAUGCCGCGUGUGUGAAGAAGGUCUUCGGAUUGUAAAGCACUUUAGGUUGGGAGGAAGGGCAGUAAGUUAAUACCUUGCUGUUUUGACGUUACCGACAGAAUAAGCACCGGCUAACUUCGUG
rnacentral:rRNA from 1 species